ACUGUAAAUUGCUCUGCCGCCUUUUUCCCACGCCACAGGCGUGGGUUCGGGAGGAAAGUCCGGACAACGCAGAGCACCGUACCACCUAACGGGUGGGUUCCGUUACGCCAAUGGCGUUGCGGGAACAGAGAGUGUCACAGAAAAUUACCGUCCCGGCAUAUCGCCGGGAUAAGGGUGAAAAUGUGCGGUAAGAGCGCACGGCGUUCCGACGCAAGUCGGGAAGCGGAUAAACCUUACGGGUUGAAAUGCCACGUACACCUUGCUUCCACGCCUCAGGCGUGGUUGUGUGUUGCUCGCACAUCAGUCUUCGGACCGGCAAGGGGGGUAGGCAGCGCAGAGCCCCGCCGUGAGGCGUGGCCCAGAUAAAUGGCAGAGGCGUGUUGCAACCUUCGGGAAGCAGCGCGUGACAGAAUCCGGCUUACAGAUUUGCAGUGUUU
rnacentral:RNase_P_RNA from 1 species